GCUCGUUAUGCUAGAGCACUUUUUCAAUGGGCUUCCCAACGACAUGGCUGGUGAGAGACCGCCAGCCCCAGACUCAAGAAGUAUUGGUAUGAGCUGCUGAAGCUAGCUCACAAUAUCCCCUUAUAGAAACUUAGAAUGUGACCGCAAAUAAGAACCAAUUGCACGUCCCUGUGAUGACGACUACGCAUUCGGAUGUCUGCCCUAUCAACUUUCGAUGGACUUUCUGCGCCUACCAUGGUGACCAACGGUAACUGAGAAUCAGGGUUAGAUUCCGGAG